rnacentral:tRNA from 1 species
GUGGGCGUCGCCUAGUGGCCUAGGGCGCCAGGUUGUGGCCCUGGUAUUCGUGGGUUCGAAUCCCACCGUCCACC